ACCUUUUAUGGUUUUGCUGUUAUUUUUUUUUAUGGUGAUUGUGCAGCAUUAUGUUGCGUUAAAGCAUGUUGUGCUCGUGCAUCUACCGUUGUCCUACUUGGUAAAACAGCUUUCACGUCUAUUGAAACUUCGUAUAAAUGGCUUCAAGCUGCUUCUCUACACGUAUCAAGAAUGCCUGCAACCUUGCUUUCUACAUGAAAUUCCCGAGUAUUGCCUAAGCAGCCCGUCUGUGAUGAGAAACUGGAACUAUAGUAAUCCCUGCGAUGCCAGAUCAAAUUAUGUGGAUUUCCUUCCAAGGACACAUGAUAUCAACUUGAACAUGGAGACUGGAUAUUUGCUAUCGACUACAAGAAUCAACUUUGCUUCCAAGGAAAUUCUUCCAUGCUCUGAAAUCAAGAUUUCUUGCUGGAUGGUAGCAUCAGAUGUUGAAGUAACUUUUACAUGCUUUGACUUCGUAAAGGGCACCAUAUUUUGCUAAAUUCAAAUGCCUUAAUAUAAAAUGAAUAUGUAAACACGAAAUCAAUUUUUUAGUAAGCAGUCGUAUCUUUAAAAAUACUUCAAGCUGUAUUCUAAAACUAGCUUUAACUUAACCGAUAGUGAAUUGGUUCUAUAUCAAAUAGGGAACUUCAAGCUGCAUCUAUUAAUAUUUCAAAAUUCCUUGUAGAUUUUAAAUUCUUUAAAACUUAAAGUUAAGCAGAGAAUUCCAUCUUAAAUUCGAUUGAAUGAAACGGACAAUUACAAGACACUUCCAUCCAAGUGAUAAGAUAGUACAAAUCUUUGAACCGCUUCCCCUCUUGUUUCACUUUAAUAUGAAGUUCGGUAUUGUAAGCAGCAAAUGAUAAAUGCCAAUCCCGUACGAGAUGUAUAUCAAACCUCCAAGUUUAAUGUUGUGUAUACUUAACAUGACAGACAUUAUGAUCUCUAAAGUACAUUCUGGCACUACAAAAUUCAAAUGCUAUUCAGCACUCGCUUGAUAGUUAGUCGAAAUCGCUCGGUUAGUACAAGAUGCAUCAUUCAAAUGCUUUAUGUAAUAGAGUCUGAUAGGCUAGAUAAACUGUCUCAUUCCAUAGAAUAUCCACUUUGAAUGUUUUAAAAUCGAUAUUAACAAGCUUCAGAUUUUUAAGUCGACCUCUAAUAUUCAGUAAUGAAUGAAUCUCUAGAAAUUCCGUUCUUUUUAAAUCAAUCGAAAUCUCCUUGAUGUGUCCUGGAUUUAAACUUUAUUGGAAAAACAUUUGAUCUAUAUUUCGAGCAGAUUUUCCAAUAAGAUGUCAAGUAAAUAAAGUCUGUAAUCUCUUGUAUAAUCAAGCUCUUAUAAAGUCUGACCUCUAUUACAAAUUAGAGUACAUAAAUUCUUUAAAAAUUCUUUAAAUCAUUAAAAACGGGAAGCUCCCAUAAAACGAGUUUGCAUAAAACGAGUCUACACAAAGUACUGUUAAAUCGAUGAGUCUUCAAAUUUAACUGAGCUUUAAUAUCUUGAUUUUUGGUAGGAAUAUUAGCGCAUUCGUAAGCGUGGUUUAACUUGAUUGUAUAAUAAAGAUUAAAUUGAAUGGGAUGAGUAGCCCAAAUUCCUUGGAUAAAAAUUAUAAUUACGAGUACGGAAAUAUAGGAUUUCGGACAGAACGAUACAAUUAAUCGAAUUUGAUUAAAAUAUAAAUGUUUUCGAUGCCAAUGUCAAAAGUAAAAAUUGCAUUUGACUGGUUUAUUAAAUGGGGAGGAUUUGAUGGGGUUCGGAUAGAGAAAUUAACACUUUAAAUACGGGUCCCUGUUUACUUUCCGUCUAGGCUGUUCGGGACCGGCGGUCUAAGUGGAAAGUAUCGGUCCCCAGGGAUCCGGCAUUUAACGUGUUUAUGACGAAUUGGGAUGUUAAGCACUUUUGAAUAGCAAACUGUAGCAAUCACGCGAAUCUAAUUGACGGGAGAAAGCAUUAUCGCGUCAAAUGAUUGAAUUUUAAAAUAUCGUGUUUAUAGAUUUGAACCAGCAAAAUGCAAUUUGUGCUUGAAGCAUUGGUAGCGAUUACAAAAAUUGUAUCGGAGAUUAGGGUUACUGAUGAAUUUAAAAUCUAGUUCGGAAAUUUCCAUUUCACUCGUUUGUGAAUAGAAAUAUUAAUUGGAAGGAAAACGGUAGUGUCUGGCUUUGUAAUGCGUGAAUUUUUUUCUAUAUACAUGAAAGAUUAAAUUAUUUGAAUAUCUGACUUUCUAAAUUUAGAUUUCAACAAAAAGACAAUGAUGCGAGUACUUACAGACGUAUCUUUUAGCGGAUUUUUGGCUAGAAUCAAGUUAAAUUUUAUGACUAAUCGUUGUGUAAUAAACAAAUAUUUUUAACUAAAGUUGAUUUAUAAUUUAAAUUUUAAACCGGUUGCACUUCAAAAGUUAGCUACAUAAUGGCUUGAGGUAACUUAAGAAUGAAAUGCUAAAUUUUAAUCGCCAAAUCACCCUUCUCCCUUAUUUUUGGCCAAACCUUCUGUAGAUUAAAUAGCUUAUUCUUAGCAGCACUUUUAAAUGUGACUCUUUAAACUGUCGUGAAUUUAAUUCGAAAGCCAGUGUUACAAAACUCGUAGUCGCCUCGCCGGUACUUAUGAAGUAGCUUCAGUUCAAAUAAUUCCUUUAAACUGAAUAAAAACAUUUGCUGAAAUUGCGAUAGUUGGUAAGAUCGCGUUAGUUUUCUAACGCUCUUCCAACUCUUAUAGCCUUCUUCCCCACAGUAUGUAAUCCGGAUUGUUUUGCUACUAUUAGCAUAAUCCUUGUAUUUUAAUUCAGAUACAGAAAUUGAAGAAAAUUCAGUAAAUAUUUUUUACGCUUGAAUUUUAGUUGAAGCUUCUGCAGUAGUCCACUUCGUACCCUACCCGGUUGCAAUAGAUCCAUUAGAAGUCAAAAUCGCUGUGUUAAAAUUGUCCGUUUCUUUCGAGUCUAAAGUUUUGUUUAAAUUCAUUUAAUUUAAUAUUCAAUUAAAACGACUCGGGUUUCCUGAUAUCAGUUACAUUAAACGUAUCGUCUUCAAAAAAACUAAUACGCAGCACAAAUCGUUCCAACUUGUAUCGCUCUUUUAGAUGUUGCCAAUAUCCUUAAUCAUAGUAUUACUCGUCUUUAAUAAAUUUAGUGUGUAUAUUUAAUUGGACAUAAUCUUGAAGUUCCCUUACUAUUUUAAAUCUUUGUUUAUGUCGAUCUGUAUACUUUUAGCCGUGCAUGUUUUACUGGCUGCUUUAUCACGUCUUGAAAUUCCUACGCAUCGUAGGAAAUGCUACUUCUUGAUGACCCUGGAUUUUUAUGAAUGUAUUGUUAUUGUAUAAAAUGCUUCAAAUAUAAAAGCAAUCAAAUAUCACUUUUGUAAUUGUAACUUUAUAUUAAAUUUUAAUUGCAUAUUAAUAUUAAACUACAUGUUUAGGCUGGAUGAUGCAUGUUAGACAGGAUUUGCUUUAGACAAUCUUGAAAGUUAAUCGUGAGUAUUCAAAUAUUUGAACGUUAUUUGGCAAGAGAUCAGCAAAUUUGGGAUCGCCAGAAAAUUGUAAAUCCGAACUAGAAUUUAUAAUUGUUUUCUACAUCUUAAAUUUUAAUUUUUUUUGAUGCUGAAGUAGUAUUUUUAAAUUAAAAUCUUUAUGCUCUAAACUCUUUCCCCACAUGCCUUUAAUCAGUAGAGCUGCCUAACAAUACUUUAAAAGAAUGCAUAAUAUUUCUUAAAGGCUAGGUUAGGGAAAUAUUUCGUAUGGGCAAUAGUAUGCAAUAUUUGGCAAGGGAUAACUUGAGUUUUACUAAAUUCUAGAUAUUUUUAAAAAUAUACAAAUAAAUGCAAAAGUUAAAACUUUAAUCAACCCCAACUUUGCUUGCAUUUUAACAUUCUAAGUCAAACUAAUUUCAGUCUGGUGUCUUAAAUAGUCCAAACAGAAUAGCAAUUAGUUAUCGCUGUAGUAAAAAUUGAUUAGUCUAACCUAGUAUUAAUCAAAUAACGCCAAAUGCAUAAAUUAAUAAAGACCUUUUGGUAUCGAAUUUGAUAACAAAGAGCAGGUGUUAGAUGACCUACAGACUAAUUUAAAUUUUUAAUGAGCUUACUCCUAGUGUUCCAAAUGUUUUAAGUUGCAAUUUCAAAUUCCACUAAAAAAAUUUAAUUAUUUACCGUGGUCAAUAAAUAUUCAAAUUUUGUAGCUUAAUUUUUUGAUCCAUUCAAUCCUAAAGUAAAUCAUCCUGCAAUAUUCAAGAAAAUUUAGCUCUUGAAGCUGUAUUUUUCAAUGUCUUAAUCUUUAAGGUGUCAACCAAGCAAGUCCUCUAUUGUUCACAUUAAUAUUUAAACAAGUUGCAUCGCAAAUCUCGCGAUAAAUUCCGACGUUCCAUUAUAGGACUUAAUUUUUGUAUUGAACAGCUAUAAUCCAAAGCAUUCGAACAUUAAUAUGAACUUAACGGAAUUUUUCAGCUGAAAGCGGUCCGUAACUUCGCCGGCAAGUGAACGGUCCACCUUCUGCUUGUGAGGAUGAAAGAAGCGUUUUGAUUGUGAUGCCUGGCCAACAUCGUGAUCAAAACCUUUCGAAUAAAAUUAAGUUCGGUCAUUUUAAUAGAAACCCAUAGAAAUUUAACUAAAACAUAUUAAAUAUCCAAUUUUGAUUGUAGAAUUUGGCAAAUAUUAAUAUCUUAAUUUUUUUUCAAUGACAUGGUAAUCUUGAAUGUCUUCCUUAAAUGUUAAACGAAUAGAUAAGCUUGUCGUACACCAUAAUUUUAGGUGAUGUCCAUAUUUCAAUUUCUAGAAAGAGCAAAAAUUAGUGUUGAAUAAUGGAACUUGCCUGGUUGAUAUUGGAUAGAUAGCUUGCAUUAUCCCCUACACUUUCAUAUAGAUUGGCAAUGUUAGCUCUAAUUAUGCUUUGCAUUCGUCAAAAAAACUUCGUUAAUCUCAUCUGAUAAGGCAAGUUUCUCCUUUCUCCAAUAUGCAAGGAUACUUUAUUCCAAAACUUCCCCUAAACCUGCAGUUUUACGAACUUUCAAAAAGGUGUUAAAAAUUGACAUUUAUUGCAAAAACUAAUGACUACAGAUUGGCAUAUGUAGUGUAUUACAGAACGUUCAUUUUAAUCGGAAUGAGAUUUAACUGAAAUUCAUAAUUUUCCUGCUUGUCUGUUUUGUGAAACGCUAAAUUUUACGAUCUCAACUAUAGAAUAUUCCUAGGAAAAUCGGGUUUUGAAAGAAAAUAUUCUGCAGAUAUCAGUUUUGCUUUCCCACUUUCGAGGUAAAAUGCUAAAUAAUGGGGUAAACUAAAUUAUACUGCUGUUCUGUAGUUUUGCAAGAUAUAUUUUAAAACAUUUAGUUUGCGUUCAAAUAUCGUCCUAAAUUCUAAAUGUAAAUUAAAAUGUUGGCAGCGAUAUUUGCAAACGAUCAAUAUUGAUUUGACUCGAUUUCCUUUAAAAAGUACACUUGUACUAUAAUGAAAUCAUUCAUACCAGGGAAUCGUUUCCAAUACCAUAAUUUGUUCAGAUAUUGGCUCAGGAUUUAAAUUCGAUAGUUGCCUAGAUAAAUUUAAUUAAUCAGUAAUCUUGAUUAAUGAACACUGUCAGUAGCUGUGCUAGCCGGUUACUUGGCAGUCAUCCAAAUUCCUGCUGGCAUUUUGAACUCUAUGCCUGAUCAGCAUCGAAGUCGAAAUGUUUUGGAAUUUGAAGGCUAUCGGUGAAUAAGCAUAAAUUCGGGCAGAAAGUCGAUUUUGAUGGGGGCGAAGGCGGUAACAAACUUCUAUAACACAAAUUCUUACAUUUUGAGAAUAAAACGGUAUCGAAUAUUUGGCAAGUACCACGUUUUUGUUAAUUUUUGCAAUAAAAUUCCAGAUCUUCUAUUCCGCCCUCUCUUAAAUACUUAAAAGAGAAUUGGAAGCACUUUAAUAGCAGAUGAAUUUAAUCGCAAUGUUCAGAUUACAAUCUUUGUAUACAAAUUUCAUGAAGAGGCCUUCCUGUUGGAAUUUCCACAUUUUUAAGUUCGUUUAUCCUUGAAUCACUUUAAACUAGAGCAAUUUUCUGUUAUGGUAGAAGGGAAAAAUAACACACAAAUUAGUUUUAAUUCAUAUUUGGUCUCAUGGUAUAACUUCUCGGAUGCAGCUAUUGCAGUUGUGAUUUAACGGAUUUUCCCGCUGAAAUCGAAACUUAAAAAAGUUGACCAUGGACGCGAUUUUUUUUCCAGAACAUUUCCCAAAUCGUUUUCAAUGUUCCUCUUUCAGCACUUUAAGAUUCGUUUAAUUACCUUGCAAUACGCUAUUGCAAAGCAACUUUCGCUUAAAUACCGAAAUUUAACCGCGACUAAUUUCAAGCAAAACGUUGGAACCUUCUAUGGCAAUGGAAAAAAUCCUUUCAACUGCCGUUGUAAAGAUUCAAUCUCGUUUUCUCUAGUAAAGCCAAAUAACGCCUCUAACUCUGCAUUUCAUGCCUGGGAAAAAUCUUUCGCUACGCGAUGAUAAUAUUUCGGCAUUCUAGAAAGUGAAACGGAUUCGGUGAUUUUUAUUUACAAAAUGCAUCCUUCAGCCUCUUGUAAUUGAAACUAAAAUUUAUAUAAUGCGGUAUCGCAU